AUUGAACGCUGGCGGCAGGCUUAACACAUGCAAGUCGAGCGCGCGGCGGACGGGUGAGUAAUGUCUGGGAAACUGCCUGAUGGAGGGGGAUAACUACUGGAAACGGUAGCUAAUACCGCAUACCAUCAGAUGUGCCCUGAUGGGCUUAGCUAGUAGGUGGGGUAAUGGCUCACCUAGGCGACGAUCCCUAGCUGGUCUGAGAGGAUGACCAGCCACACUGGAACUGAGACACGGUCCAGAUUCCGACGGUAGGCAGCAGGGGGGAAUAUUGCACAAUGGGCGCAAGCCUGAUGCAGCCAUGCCGCGUGUGUGAAGAAGGCCUUCGGGUUGUAAAGCACUUUCAUCGAGGAGGCGUUACUCGCAGAAGAAGCACCGGCUAACUCCGUGCCAGCAGCCGCGGUAAUUC
rnacentral:rRNA from 1 species